rnacentral:rRNA from 1 species
AUUGAACGCUGGCGGCAGGCCUAACACAUGCAAGUCGAACGGUAACAGGAAGAAGCUUGCUUCUUUGCUGACGAGUGGCGGACGGGUGAGUAAUGUCUGGGAAACUGCCUGAUGGAGGGGGAUAACUACUGGAAACGGUAGCUAAUACCGCAUAACGUCGCAAGCCCAAAGAGGGGGACCUUCGGGCCUCUUGCCAUCGGGUGUGCCCAGAUGGGAUUAGCUAGUAGGUGGGGUAACGGCUCACCUAGGCGACGAUCCCUAGCUGGUCUGAGAGGAUGACCAGCCACACUGGAACUGAGACACGGUCCAGACUCCUACGGGAGGCAGCAGUGGGGAAUAUUGCACAAUGGGCGCAAGCCUGAUGCAGCCAUGCCGCGUGUAUGAAGAAGGCCUUCGGGUUGUAAAGUACUUUCAGCGGGGAGGAAGGGAGUAAAGUUAAUACCUUUGCUCAUUGACGUUACCCGCAGAAGAAGCACCGGCUAACUCCGUG